UACGUAGGGCGCAAGCGUUGUCCGGAAUUAUUGGGCGUAAAGAGCUCGUAGGCGGUUUGUCGCGUCUGCUGUGAAAGCCCGGGGCUCAACCCCGGGUCUGCAGUGGGUACGGGCAGACUAGAGUGCGUAGGGGAGACUGGAAUUCCUGGUGUAGGCGGUGAAAAUGCGCAGAUAUCAGGAGGAACACCGAUGGCGAAAGGGCAGGUCCUCUGGGGCUGUUACUGACGCUGAGGAGCGGAAAGCAUGGGGAGCGAAACAGGAUUAGAUACCCGGGGUAGUCC
rnacentral:rRNA from 1 species